UCACAACAAUCCUAUGAGAGCUGAGCCAACAUGCAUAUGAUAACUGGAGACUGAAAAAAUUUAGGGAGAGAGAACCAUGCAAGUCAAGGGCAUUGUAAAGAUGAAUUUAGAAUCUCCAGUGACAGCAGGCCCUCAUUUGGAUGCUUGGAUUCUAAAAUGUUUGCUAAAAGUUGUCCCAGCACUAGAAGACAUUCUAAGGCCAAGCUUAUUCCAAAUCUUGCAAGGACAUCGAAGUUGAUGCAGCUUUCUGGCCCAGAUGGACCUGGGGAAGAACCAAGUCCUUGCACAUAUGAAAAGUUUCCCAACUGCGGCAGGACAGUCUGCAGAAUAGACUGGGCUCCCAUGGAAUCUACUGUGGGACAGAGGCUGAUGAACCUGGUCUUGGCUCAGAGGAAUGUGUGUAACCCAACAAGUUUCUGCACAGAGCAGCCUACUGGGAUCUUGAAGCUGACAAUGAUAUAUGUAUAUGGAUAUAAUGGUGGUUGUAUUAAUUUCCUAAGACUGCCAUAAUAAAUUACCAUAAACGUACAACAGAAAUUGAUUCUGUCACAGUUCUGGAGCCAGAAAUAAAAAAUCAAGGUAUCGUCGGUGUUUCUUUCUUCUAGAGGCUCUGGGGAAGAAUCUGUUUCUUUCGCCUCUCCUAGCUUCUGCUAGUGGCUGGUAGUUCUUUGUGUUCCUUGGUUUGUAGACUCAUCACUCCAAACUCUGCUUUCCUCUUCACAUGGCCUUCCCCUCUGUGUCUCAAAUCUCUCUCUUCUUUCUCUUACAAGGACACUAGUGAUUGUAUUAGGGGCCAACCCUAAAUCCAGGAUAAUCUGCUGAGAUCCUUAACUUAAUUAAACCUGCAAAAAUUCUAUCUCUAAAUAAGGUCUCAUUCACAAGUACCAGGGGUUAGGACUAGACGUAUCUUUGGAGGGGGAAGGACAUAAUUCAACCCAAUACAGUGGCCAAGAUUGCUUUCUCAGGCCUGAAAAAUAAGGCUUCUGGGAAUUUGAUAUGAGCCUACUAUGAAUUUGGAAAAUGGGUUGAAGAUUUAAACAAAUAAAAUCGCUUGGAUUCUUAUCACACUUUGCCUCUGUUGUUGCAGAAUUUCUUCUUUACAGGUUUUAGGCAGUUAAAAAGAAGGUGACUAUUUCAGGACUCUAAAAAAGUUAAAAAAUUAUUUGAGACAUACUUCACAUUUUUGCUUAAUUCUAUUAUUAUUUAUAGUUCCUAAAUUUUGCAGUGGUAUAUGUUUAUUAGAAUUACAGAUAAACCAAAAUAAGUGAAUUUGCCUUUUGAGCUCCCCGUGCACAUAUAAAGACUCCUAAUUCUUUGGUGCAUAACCUUGAGAUUAUAUUUUGCUUAGUAGAUAUUUACACUUUCUUAUAUAUCUAUAAAUCCAUAUGUAGAAGUUAACAUGGAUAUAUAUUUGUUACAUUUUUAUUCGUAAUAUGUAACUUUUUAAGAAGUCAAUAAAUAUCUUGUUGAUGUUUUAAAACAUUUUGAUAAAUUAUUUGAUACUUCCAUUUCAUCCCAGCCCAUCACAAAUUGGAGUUUAAUUCUCCUCCUAUUUGAAUAUAGGCUAGACUUAGUGACUUGAUUCUAAAGGAUAUUAUAUGGCAGAAUGAUACCAUGUUAAUUCUGAGGUUGGGUCAUAAAAGGUGACACAGCUUCUGUUUGGCUCUUUCUCUUUUGGAAAAUGUACCUAUGCGGGGAUUCCUGAGUCGACAAUGUAAGAUGUCUGGCUAUUCUGAAACAGACAUGCUGGAGAGAACACAUGGAAAAACCAUAUUAGAGAAAAAAUUGCCCAAGGAGCCACAGCUAUUCCAGCCCUCAAAUGCUUGGCUUACCCCAGCCAAUCACCAGAGAUACAUGAUGAUUUCAGUCCCCAACCUUUUAGCCACCUGAGAUGACUCUGAGUAGAGCAGAGUCAUUUCUGAUGAGCCCUGAACAAACUGCAUAUUUGUAAGGAAAGAAAUACUGUUGCUGUUUUUAGUCAUUAUGUUUUUGGAAUAUUUUAUGUAGCAAGAGAUAACUUGAGCACAUUUACUUGAUUUCUCUUAAUAGCUGUGCAGCGUUUUAAUAUUAUGGGUGUGUCACCUUUACCCAGUUUCUUAUUGUUGGACAUUGAGUUUUUCAAGUUUUAGUUGUUUUAAAAAUUGAAACAACCUUGAACAUAGAUAUCUGUUCUCUUGUUCAAUUAUUAUUUAAAAUUGAAAUCUUGGAAAUGCUAGGUAGUACACAAAAGUAUGUCAUGGUGGUUGUUUUGUCACAAGGAUUCCAAAUUGCACAUGGUCAUUAUUUUUAAUCUUGCCAAUUUAAGGCAGACAGUACUUUUCUUCAUUGAUGUGUCGAUGUUAUAACUGAUUUUCUAAUAGUUCUAUUACUGGGAAUACAUCUUAUUGUGAUUUAUUAUUAUUAUUCAUUUAAUUUACUUCUAAAGUUUUAUACAUCUUGCCUUAUGUCAGGGUCAGGGCACACAUAGAAAACAGUAGUACUUGUAUGAUACCCCAAGGUAAACUACAGGAGGUUGGAGGUCACCUAUAUGAAAUAUGAAAAAAAUUAUAUUUUUAUAAGAAAUGAUAUUAAUAUAAUGGUAUUUAUCCUUAAAUGUGAAUAAAACUUCCAACUUGCAAAUAAAUUAUUUCUGAAUUUACUGUGAUAAAGUUUACCUUUCUCCCAUGGACAUAACUUUUAUUGUAAAUAUAUACUAGCAUUUAUGCUUGAAAACAUUACACAUAAUUUUCUGAUGAAGGCUUGGUUAUGUUCUCUUUAAAUUUUUGUAGGUCAUUGUCUUAGUUCAUUUGUGCUGCUAUAACAAAAUACCUGAGACUAGUUCAUUUAUAAAGAAUAGAAAUUUAUUUCUCACAGUUCUUCAGACUGGGAAAUCCAAAGUCAAGGUAAUGUCAGUUUCAGUGUCUGGUGAGGGCCUAGCCUCAGCUUCUAAGAUGGCAUCUUAUUGCAACAUCCUCCAUAGGGGUCGUAACCGAAGGGAUAGAAGAGCAAAAGGGUCUAGCUAGUUCCCUCCAUUCCUUGUAAAGUCACUAACACUGUUAAUGAGGGCUCUGACCUCCUAAUAUAAUCACCAUAUAAAGGCCCCAUCUCUUAACACUGUUACAUUGAGGAGUAAGUUUUAACAUGAAUAUUGGAGGGAAUGCAAACAUUUAAACCAUAACAGUCAUCAUCAACAAGAAACUUUAUUAACAUAGGCAGAUAAUACAUUCUAAAACACACUUUACAUCCAUUGAAAGUUUUUACAUUUUAACAACUGAAAUUAUAUUUCAAGCUAAAGUUUUCCUUUAUUUCAUUGAUAAAUGUAAUGUUGACAUUUCUUACCAUAAUGUGAGUGGGCUUUGAAUCCAACCAAACUUUUUAACAGUCUUUCAAAAUCAUGGUGAAGCUUUUAUUUGGAAAACAUACUGCAUUAUAAGAACAUCUCAUCAUUAGUUUAAAGACCCCUAGAGAGAGCAUAUGCCACAAACAUAUGGAUCCACCACCCAGAGGUGUGCUCCCUGGGAUUCUCGUCACCUUUGGGAAUGGGACAUACAUCCGUGAACGGGCAUCUGACUGCAGAAGUAGAUGUCCAGUGUUAGCAGCAAUUUGCUCAUGCUCAGCAAGUUGUGGCAGAGCAGCAAGUACCAGGUGUAGCUCAUCCCUCAUCUUGAUUUUCAUCUGUGACAGCAGCUGGGAAUGCCACCCUCAUCUCACCCACUCACCCAGCUCAGAUCUUUGAACCCACCUUUUGUCUGAGGCAAAAGGUGUUGGGGCUCAAGCUGCUCAAGUCUAGUCCUAUUACCUCAUGGGCUGAGAUAAAUUGCUACUCCCCUGCACACUUGCAAUCAGUUUUCUGGACAAGAUUUGCACUAACGGAUUAAGUUGAUAAUAUUUUAUUUGUGAAUUCUGUGUAAAAUAUUCAUAAUUAUGUUUACCUUCAUUCUCCUUUUUUGUAGUACUUAUGUUUAGUCUAUGAUACAGCUAAUUAUGUUGACUUCAUACAAAUCAUGGAUUUUUUCAUUUUUUCCUCUGUUCUGGAAAAGAAUAAAUAGGCUAAGGAUGAUUGACCAGUUGAAGGCAUUCUAGAACUUAUUUGUACAAAUACAUA
ensembl:lncRNA